rnacentral:tRNA from 1 species
GGAGGGAUCGGCAAAUUGGUAUGCCACCGCACUCGAAAUGCGGCGACCGCAAGGUCUUGAGAGUUCGAGUCUCUCUUCCUCCGCCA